AGAAUCAACGCUGGCGGCGUGCCUAACACAUGCAAGUCGAACGAGAAAGGGGAGCAAUCCCUGAGUACAGUGGCGACCGGGUGAGUAACACGUGACUAACCUACCCUUGAGUGGGGGAUAACCUAGGGAAACCUGGGCUAAUACCGCAUAAUACCUUCGGGUCAAAGGAGCAAUUCGCUUAAGGAGGGGUCGCGGCCGAUUAGUUAGUUGGCGGGGUAAUGGCCCACCAAGACGAUGAUCGGUAUCC
rnacentral:rRNA from 1 species